AAGCCAGUGGUGAACUCCACAUACGCAUCCUUUGCUGAGGAUACGGUUAACGGAGCGAAAGCGACGUUCAACCUCAAAAGAAGCAGAGGGGGCUUAGUGGUGGGGUGACUGCGUACCUUUUGUAUAAUGGGUCAGCGACUUAUAUUCUGUAGCAAGGUUAACCGAAUAGGGGAGCCGGAGGGAAACCGAGUCUUAAUUGGGCGUUAAGUUGCAGGGUAUAGACCCGAAACCCGGUGAUCUAGCCAUGGGCAGGUUGAAGGUUGGGUAACACUAACUGGAGGACCGAACCGACUAAUGUUGAAAAAUUAGCGGAUGACCUGUGGCUGGGGGUGAAAGGCCAAUCAAACCGGGAGAUAGCUGGUUCUCCCCGAAAGCUAUUUAGGUAGCGCCUCGUGAAUUCAUCUCCGGGGGUAGAGCACUGUUUCGGCUAGGGGGUCAUCCCGACUUACCAACCCGAUGCAAACUGCGAAUACCGGAGAAUGUUAUCACGGGAGACACACGGCGGGUGCUAACGUCCGUCGUGAAGAGGGAAACAACCCAGACCGCCAGCUAAGGUCCCAAAGUCAUGGUUAAGUGGGAAACGAUGUGGGAAGGCCCAGACAGCCAGGAUGUUGGCUUAGAAGCAGCCAUCAUUUAAAGAAAGCGUAAUAGCUCACUGGUCGAGUCGGCCUGCGCGGAAGAUGUAACGGGGCUAAACCAUGCACCGAAGCUGCGGCAGCGAACGUAUCACCCAAGACAACUUUGCGGAGUUGACGAUUGACGGAGCGAAGCGACGUCAAAGCGUUCAUUAAAGUCGAGUUGGCUUAGGGAUACGUUCGUUGGGUAGGGGAGCGUUCUGUAAGCCUGUGAAGGUGUGUCGUGAGGCAUGCUGGAGGUAUCAGAAGUGCGAAUGCUGACAUAAGUAACGAUAAAGCGGGUGAAAAGCCCGCUCGCCGGAAGACCAAGGGUUCCUGUCCAACGUUAAUCGGGGCAGGGUGAGUCGACCCCUAAGGCGAGGCCGAAAGGCGUAGUCGAUGGGAAACGGGUUAAUAUUCCCGUACUUGGUGUUACUGCGAAGGGGGGACGGAGAAGGCUAUGUUGGCCGGGCGACGGUUGUCCCGGUUUAAGCGUGUAGGCUGGUUUUCCAGGCAAAUCCGGAAAAUCAAG
rnacentral:rRNA from 2 species